UACGUAGGGUGCAAGCGUUGUCCGGAAUUAUUGGGCGUAAAGAGCGUGUAGGCGGCCCGAUUAGUCCGCUGUGAAAGUCCAGGGCUCAACCCUGGAAUGCCGGUGGAUACUGUCGGGCUAGAGUCCGGAAGGGGCGAGUGGAAUUCCUGGUGUAGCGGUGAAAUGCGCAGAUAUCAGGAGGAACACCAAUGGCGAAGGCAGCACUCUGGGACGUGACUGACGCUGAGACGCGAAAGCGUGGGGAGCAAACAGG
rnacentral:rRNA from 1 species